UAGGGAAUCUUCGGCAAUGGACGAAAGUCUGACCGAGCAACGCCGCGUGAGUGAAGAAGGUUUUCGGAUCGUAAAACUCUGUUGUUAGAGAAGAACAAGGACGUUAGUAACUGAACGUCCCCUGACGGUAUCUAACCAGAAAGCCACGGCUAACUACGUGCCAGCAGCCGCGGUAAUACGUAGGUGGCAAGCGUUGUCCGGAUUUAUUGGGCGUAAAGCGAGCGCAGGCGGUUUCUUAAGUCUGAUGUGUAAGCCCCCGGCUCAACCGGGGAGGGUCAUUGGAAACUGGGAGACUUGAGUGCAGAAGAGGAGAGUGGAAUUCCAUGUGUAGCGGUGAAAUGCGUAGAUAUAUGGAGGAACACCAGUGGCGAAGGCGGCUCUCUGGUCUGUCACUGCCGCUGAGGCUCGAAAGCGUGGGGAGCAAACAGG
rnacentral:rRNA from 1 species